AGUGAACGCUGGCGGCAGGCCUAAUACAUGCAAGUCGAACGGCAGCACAGUGGAGCUUGCUCCAUGGGUGGCGAGUGGCGGACGGGUGAGGAAUACAUGGGAAUCUGCCCAGUCGUGGGGGAUAACGUAGGGAAACCUACGCUAAUACCGCAUGCGCCCUUCGGGGGAAAGCCGGGGACCUUCGGGCCUGGCGCGAUUGGAUGAGCCCAUGUUCGAUUAGCUAGUUGGCGGGGUAAAGGCCCACCAAGGCGACGAUCGAUAGCUGGUCUGAGAGGAUGAUCAGCCACACUGGGACUGAGACACGGCCCAGACUCCUACGGGAGGCAGCAGUAGGGAAUAUUGGACAAUGGGCGCAAGCCUGAUCCAGCCAUGCCGCGUGAGUGAAGAAGGCCCUCGGGUUGUAAAGCUCUUUUGUCCGGGAAGAAAAGCAUCGGGCUAAUACCUCGGUGUUCUGACGGUACCGGAAGAAUAAGCACCGGCUAACUUCGU
rnacentral:rRNA from 1 species